GACGAACGCUGGCGGCGUGCCUAAUACAUGCAAGUCGAGCGCAGGAAAUCGACGGAACCCUUCGGGGGGAAGUCGACGGAAUGAGCGGCGGACGGGUGAGUAACACGUAAAGAACCUGCCCUCAGGUCUGGGAUAACCACGAGAAAUCGGGGCUAAUACCGGAUGGGUCAUCGGACCGCAUGGUCCGAGGAUGAAAGGCGCUCCGGCGUCGCCUGGGGAUGGCUUUGCGGUGCAUUAGCUAGUUGGUGGGGUAAUGGCCCACCAAGGCGACGAUGCAUAGCCGACUGGGGAGGGUGAGCGGCCACACUGGGACUGAGACACGGCCCAGACUCCUACGGGAGGCAGCAGUAGGGAAUCUUCCACAAUGGACGAAAGUCUGAUGGAGCAACGCCGCGUGAACGAUGAAGGCCUUCGGGUCGUAAAGUUCUGUUGUAAGGGAAGAACAAGUGCCGCAGGCAAUGGCGGCACCUUGACGGUACCUUGCGAGAAAGCCACGGCUAACUACGUGCCAGCAGCCGCCGUAA
rnacentral:rRNA from 1 species